AAAACAUAUGGGGGCCAAGUUUGGCCAUGCCUGGUUUAGAUCCAUAGCUUGAAUCCUGUAGCAGCUUCUUAUGCGUACAGUGGGUUGUCAUGUACGAAUAGAGCUAUAUUAUUGUGCACAGACAAUGGGUUGUAUUUUCAGUCUCUGGAGAAAGGUGGAAUGAUAGAAUUGUAGAGUUGGAAGGGACCCUGACGAUCAUCUAGUCCAACCCCCUGCAACCUUGGCGUUACCAGCACCAUGUUCUAACCAACUGAGCUAUCCAGUAAGAUACACGAAGGGAAAUGAUCUUCCCUCUUAAGCUCAGAUUCAGUUUUCUUCUUUCUUUGGACCAAAAGAAGAAAGAAAGAGCUGAACACUGUUGUCAACAACGUUCCCCCCCCCCCAGCUGUCCAAGGCUGCCUUUACAUCUUUUUAGUUAGCAAUGAAAAAUAAUAAAAUCUGAUAAUACACAAAUCUGGGGAGGGAACCGUUUAGGAAAUGAUCCAGCCAAUUUUGAGUCCCACCGACUUGACUAGGAGAGUUAAGCACGUGCUUAAACUUGUCUCCUUGAAAUGAAUGGGAAUUGGGAAGCAACCCAAACCCAAGGGCAGUUGGGACAAGCAGAGUUUGCACUAGGCAGUGUCUCUGGCUGAACCAGGGCCUGCCCAAGACAUUUUGGUUACCCAAGAUUUACCACUAAAUGGUGCAUCCUCCCCAUCAGGAACAAGGGACAGCAACAGGAACAAGAGGGGAGGAAUAAUGAUCUAUAUCAGGAUCUGCUGCCCCGUGGAGCCUGCCGCCUGAGGUUGUUGCUGCACCCUACCUCAUGGGUGGCCCAGCCUGGCCUUUAUUCCACCUGAGCUGGAGAUACUCUGGGGAUCAUCUUGGAUUUGUUCCUUUAACACUGACUCUUAGUGCAGUCCUGAUUUUCUGUAUUAAUGAAUUGAGAAGAUGACAUCAGGCUCUUAGGUCUUUGGAAAGAGGAUUUUGAAGUCCUGGGAACAUGUGGACCUCUCCACCAUGGUUCAGCUGUCAUGGGAAGGUGUUGUUGGAAAUCUGAAGUGUGCAACAAGGUCAUAAUUAGUACGUUUGAGAGGGAACAUUGGCAGGAGAUGGAAUGGUGCUGGAACUGAACAUACAAUCUAAACCUGGACAUGGUGACAACAAUAGCAGGAUACUUUAGACCACAGUCCAGUCCCAAAGCAUCUGAAAGAGCUAUUUCAGCAAUGGCCGAAUGGCUUUGCAGCAGUCCAACGCCACCUGAGUCAGAAACAUGUAGGACCCAAUCCUGCUUCCUCAGCAAGGCCUGAUGAGCUUCCUCAUAAGACUUCAUCCCAACCUUCCACUCCCAACUGGAUAUGCCAGCGUACUGGAUACACCGCAAUGCAGUCACAGCAAGUAAAGACAAUAAUGACUUCAACCUGGAAAAAGGCUUACGGCUCAGUCAGAACUAGCCUAAAUCUAACCUUCAGUUUGGAGUCUUGGAUAAUGAGAGAAAAAUGUCUGUCAAAUACAAGUGUGGAUACAUGCCGGACUUCCCCACUGCUGUUUGAGUCGCAGCUGAGCAAAGUGAGGUAGCCUAGAUCUUAGAGCGGGGAACCAGGGCCCCCCAACUACUCAUGGACUUGACACCUGAUCAUGGAUCUACUUUCCAAGGAGCAGCCACUACCUGCUAGAUCCAUAGCCACAUUUUCAGAUCCAGCACUUGUCGCACGCGGCAACAUUUUGACUGCUAUGCCGAGAAAUAAAAGUGGUUGCUUUUAUUCAUCUCAUACAUUAUCCAGCUACAGCCAAUGUUUUGUUAAGAACUUCAUACAAACUUUGUAGUGACUUUUCUUGGUCCUUUUUUGAGAGAACAUCAUGGACUUUUCACAGAAACUGAGAAGGGCCACAGGGGCAGGCCGAGGGGUAUAUGUGAUGUUACUUUGUUUUCAGCGCAAGACUGCUGAAGGAGCCCCUCUUGGUCGCCAGCAAAAGGGCCAGCUCCGCGAAUCGUCUCCAAGGUCAGCGCCGUGGGAUUUCCAUUUGCUUCCUCGAUGACAGUGUUGAAACGUCGGAACAAUAGAACCUGACUGCUCAAAACUUCUCAGAGCAUAUACAGGUAGAAGUUUGCAAGUUUGGGAUCAUUUGAACUAGCGGUGUUAAAAGCAGCCUGAAAUUAAUCCGGACAACGAGCUUCAUCUGUUAUUUAUGCUAGGUCUGACGCUUAGUGUCAGAAGCACUCCAAAGAAUAUUUAAACAGACCUUGAAUAAAAAACACGCACAGGGAAGAAUCGGUGUUGUCAUCUCUGUAGGAUGAAUGUAGCGCGUUGCUAUUCUGCAUUUCCUCCCUCCCCCCAUCACUUCUGCUCUUUUUGAAAAUCUCCUUGGCACGCCAGAUCACUUCCGCAAGCUCCUGCACGAUGAAGUUCUUUCCGUGCUAAACAUCACCUCGUAGGUAGUGAGCUCAGCGCCCUUUCUGGCAUGCCUCAGGAGACAACUUACUACAAAGCGAAGCAUACAAGGUCUGGAGUCCACUAAGAGACACUUCACACACGGACUUCCCCCUCUUCCCCUGCCCUCACAGAUAUUUCUGGGUAGGGUGAAAUAGUUUUUUAGAAAGACUUAAUGUGUGAAGAAGGCACAUGAUUGUAUGUGUUGGGGAGAGGUUGACUUCCAAAAUGUGAACCACAGCAAAAUAUGAUCACACAUUUCCUCCCCAUGAAUUAACAUAUGCAUAUUGAAUCCCCGCGACGGGGUGAGCUCCCAUUGCUCGGUCCCUGCUCCU